CUGCCCACUGCACCUCCUCCUUCAAACAAGCACCCCCAUAACUCCAAAAGUAAAUUUUGUGAGACUCCCUAAAACAACCACCACGACCAGAACGCCCCCGGGUAAAAGUCCGUGCACAAACCUCCUCCGCCUUUGUCUUUCAAUAGCGUCAGCCCGGACUUGCUCCAGAUGACAACAAAGUAGACACAGCUCCCCUGCCCGCAUGUUCCAUGUCCCCACCUUCCCGGCCUCUCAGGACUCUGUUCCACUCUUGCCAGACACUAAGCGUGCCCUGCCCUGUGCUAGAACCUUCCACCCACCCCAAUGGCAACUCUCUCCUCCGAGGCAGCUGCUGCCCUGCUUUUAUUCCUUUAUGGAUGGGGCGGUGAGCAGGCGGUGCUGGGAAGUUUGUCAUCGUGUGAGCACGGAAAUGCCGUGGCUGUGUCUCCUCCUGAUGUGUGAAGCAGCUGUUGGGAUGGCAGGUAAACUAUCCUGUGAAGAAUUUACAGGAUUGAGAGACACAAGGGUCUUGGCUCUCAAAAGAAACUACUACCUGUGGAAGUAUACUACUUGUUAAUGGGUUGAGAUGGAGCUGGGGGACCCUAGUAUGGCAACUGUGGAGACCGUGUUGUACAACAUGAAGGCCACCUGUAGAAUCUGCACACAGAAAUAUCAACUCUGUGAAACUCUUCUUUUAAAUAAAAUUAUUUCAC